CUCGGGGCCACAAUUUUUGCCCAAUUAUUCUUUUUUUCACUGCUGUUGUCUCCUUUGUCUAGGAGCGUGCCUGGAAUGUACUAGGGCCUAAUAGGGUUGUUUUUCUUUAAAUGAAUUAUUGCUUGGAAUAAGAAUAAAGUUUUAAACGUUCACUUAAAAACAACGUGCAACGAGACAACAUUUUUCUUCAAAGUGACUCACUGGAUACAGCAGGCAUUGCAGAGGAGGCCAAGUCGGGGCUGGGUCCUUUCUUUUGCACAUGUGGGUGUGAAUUCAAAUCAACCCACAAUGUGCGCGGGGCAGCCCCCAAGACAGGAAGAGUAAGCGGGUAGCAUUUCUCACUUACAAAGUAGUAGAAGGCAUCAGGGUUGUCCAGGAAAGGGUGUUCAGCCAUCCCAUCCGCUGCAUUCUUGGACAAUUCCCCAGCGGGCUGCAGGUACCCUUCACCGAGCAGCGAGGACGCAAUCAUGAGGCCUUCCUGGCGAUUCCGAACAGACUUAUUGGACACCAGCCAGUCGAUGACACAGUUUCCUGGAUGGGACCAGCAGAAGGAAGGUUAACGUGCUACCGAAGUACCAGAGAACAAGCCACCGACAGUUACCCCUCAAGAGUUCCAGAGUAUCCACGUGUCUGACUUGUCUCGUCUUCCCCGUGAUUCCAAGAAGGAAAAGUGAAAUCAGUGGGAUAGACUCUUGGAAACAAAAGGCCUAGCAGUGACCCUGAGAAGUCAUCUAAUCCAACGGCUGCCUCAAGAGAGGAUUGCCAAGAGGAGACAAGGAAACUACCCAGAAGAGGGAACUGACCCGUCAGUUGUGUUCUCAGCAGGCUACAAUAAAGGCCUCAGAGUGAGCCUCUAGAAGAGUCGGGGCGGUAAUGACAGACCUCAUUGGAGAAUGAGAAAAUUAGGGCCCAGUGAGUUUAAGUGACGUUAGGCCUGAGCUACACAGAGAUGGCCCGUUGCCCAAGUGUUCUAGCCCUAGAGCCCAGGUGUGCUCGGUCAGGUGUGCUGAAGCUUGGAAAGACCAGUUCAGGCUCCCCGUCAUCCGACGUUCAAGGUCCUCCGUCACUUGUCAGCGGUACGAGAGUCCCUGUCUCUGCCUUAGUCUCGUUUCCCCACCAAGACCACGAGGCUCCCACAUGACACCUUGACCCCACCUGGAUUCUAGGACCCACCCUGAGCCUCAGUGGACAGGACUUGAGAAGUUCCAGCCCUGUACUCUGGGAGUCAGUAACACGCUGCACAGGGAAUGAGUAUGGCCUAGACCUGGUGCCCGCAUCUAUUUUGGAACCUCCUCCUUGUCCCCUUCCUUUGCGAGAGGAUCUGCCUUAGUGACGUCACUCCUGCUGGAGUCAGGGCCCUGCUUUCCCUUAUCAUUCCCACAGCUUGGAAUCUCCGUCCUAAAUGUCAGCCCUGACUGUCUGAUGCUAUUAGGCCACAACCUUACUCUCCGAGGCUGAUUCCCGUUGGAUACUGCCCUCCCACUGCACAUCACACUCUACCUUUCUGACUUUGACCUGGACCAUUUUCAUGAACCAUCUAUUGACUGCUUAACCCCUCAGAUUCUACAUCUGUUGUGUCUUCUUAGAGUUUUCCUCUCUUGAUCUCUUCUGUUACUGUAAGGCAUGCCCAGCGUCUAACAGUCUAGCUGCAAAGUGCAUGUCCCAUUUGGCCCCCUGAUGGACUAUGAGCCUCACCAAGCUGGUCAUUUUCUUUUCCCAAAUGCAUGUUCUGGAUAUCUCUGCCCCAUACCUUUGUCCUCACCAUACUUAAUGAAAUGCCACCAACUCUUUGGGUAAAAGUUAGGCACCGAUUUAUAUUCAUCCUGAGUUCUUUCUCAGGUUCUUUCUUUUCUGAACUCAGAAUUGUCCAUGCAGACAUAUGACCUCUUAAUAUUAACCACCCUGAGAGCUCGCACCAUAUAGUAUCUAGUGUGUACCAGGCGCCAUCCCAAACGCAUUGCAGCAAGCCUAUGAAGUAGAUGCCCUAGGAUUAUCCCCUUUUUAUGGACUACAAAAGUGAAGCACAGGGAGGCUAAGUCAUUGAUCUAAGGCUUUACAGCAAGUAAGUGGCAGAGCCAGGAUUUGAACUAAGGCAAUCUGGCUCCAAAGAACAUGUUUUGAACCUCUGUGCCAUCUACCUAAACUCAAGACACUACUUGCCUGACCCUGCACAGCCUCAAGCAUCUCUCACAUUUUCACUUAAAUCUUUCAUUGUAUACCUUGAUUCCUGUUUAUCAUCUUUUUUUUCUUAUUCUCAUCAGUUUUUAUUUUUUAUAUAAUAAAUUUAUUUUUUAUUGGUGUUCAAUUAGCCAACAUACAGAAUAACACCCAGUGCUCAUCCCGUCAAGUGCCCCCCUCAGUGCCCGUCACCCAUUCACCCCCACCUCCCGCCCUCCUCCCCUUCCACCACCCCUAGUUCGUUUCAACGCUGUGUCUAUUUCAACAUCAUGCCAUUUAUUUAGGGAGUGGAGGUCGGGGAGAGACCCUUUGAUUGAUUAGCUAGAACUUCUGAACCUUUAGCUUGACCAACAGAGUUCUUUUCCACCUUUCUUUCUGUUUCCAUCCUGGCGAAGUUCAAUUUCUUAUGUUCACCAAUCUGUGUUCUAUGACCCCAUUUGCCCACCACGCUUCACGCCCCCUCCCACAUGUGAGGCUGAGCGAGAACUCUAUAUUGCCUUCCCCAGGUGCCCCAUUUCAGACUUGCAAGGCCUUUUACCUGUGAAGCAGUGAUUAAAUAUCUUCUUGUCCUUCUCUA